CUCACUGUGUGUUCACUGUGUGCUCUGUGUUCAAACUAUUUAAUCAUUUGAAUUCUCUUUCAACAUAUCGUCUAUACGUGUUUCCAAAGUUCUUAUUGGGAAAUCUGAUGGUAAAUCCUGG